CGGGAAACUGGGGAUAAUACCGGAUAUUUGGAGAUGCCUGGAAUGGUACUCCACUUAAAGCUCCGGCGCCUAAGGAUGGAUCUGCGGCAGAUUAGGUCGUUGGUGGGGUAAUGGCCCACCAAGCCUAUAAUCUGUACGGGUUGUGAGAGCAAGAGCCCGGAGAUGGAACCUGAGACAAAGUUCCAGGCCCUACGGGGCGCAGCAGGGGGGAAACCCCCGCAAUGCGAGCAAAUCGCGACGGGGGGACCCAAAGUGCCACUCUUAACGGGGUGGCUUUUCUUAAGUGUAAAAAGCUUUUGGAAUAAGGGCUGGGCAAGACCGGUGCCAGCCGCCGCGGUAACA
rnacentral:rRNA from 1 species